UAGGGAAUCUUCCACAAUGGACGCAAGUCUGAUGGAGCAACGCCGCGUGAGUGAAGAAGGUUUUCGGACCGUAAAGCUCUGUUGUUGGUGAAGAAGGAUAGAGGUAGUAACUGGCCUUUAUUUGACGGUAAUCAACCAGAAAGUCACGGCUAACUACGUGCCAGCAGCCGCGGUAAUACGUAGGUGGCAAGCGUUGUCCGGAUUUAUUGGGCGUAAAGCGAGCGCAGGCGGAAGAAUAAGUCUGAUGUGAAAGCCCUCGGCUUAACCGAGGAAUUGCAUCGGAAACUGUUUUCUUGAGUGCAGAAGAGGAGAGUAGAACUCCAUGUGUAGCGGUGGAAUGCGUAGAUAUAUGGAAGAAUACCAGUGGCGAAGGCGGCUCUCUGGUCUGCAACUGACGCUGAGGCUCGAAAGCAUGGGUAGCGAACAGGAUUAGAUACCCUGGUAGUCCAUGCCGUAAACGAUGAGUGCUAAGUGUUGGGAGGCUUCCGCCUCUCAGUGCUGCAGCUAACGCGUUAAGCACUCCGCCUGGGGGAGUACGACCGCAAGGUUGAAAC
rnacentral:rRNA from 1 species